rnacentral:rRNA from 1 species
AACGAACGCUGGCGGCAGGCUUAACACAUGCAAGUCGAGCGCCCCGCAAGGGGAGCGGCAGACGGGUGAGUAACGCGUGGGAAUCUACCCAUCCCUACGGAAUAACGCAUGGACACGUGUGCUAAUACCGUAUACGUCCUUCGGGAGAAAGAUUUAUCGGAGAUGGAUGAGCCCGCGUUGGAGUAGCUAGUUGGUGGGGUAAAGGCCUACCAAGGCGACGAUCCAUAGCUGGUCUGAGAGGAUGAUCAGCCACACUGGGACUGAGACACGGCCCAGACUCCUACGGGAGGCAGCAGUGGGGAAUAUUGGACAAUGGGCGCAAGCCUGAUCCAGCCAUGCCGCGUGAGUGAUGAAGGCCCUAGGGUUGUAAAGCUCUUUCACCGGUGAAGAUAAUGACGGUAACCGGAGAAGAAGCCCCGGCUAACUUCGUGCCAGCCGCCGCCGUAAUAC